GGUUAUUCUGAACGGUCCCGUCCACUUGGGCGAUAACUUGUUCUGCAUCUCAUACUGAUGGGCCUUCCUCAUCACCCGAUCGUCGCUUCUAAACUGCCUUGACGUUACCUUAGAGUUGUACCUUCGCUCGACUCUUCUCUUUACCGCUUCGGCUUUCACUCUCGCCUCCUCCCUGACCUCAUCCAGCAAAUCCAGAUUCAUUCUUCUU
rnacentral:lncRNA from 1 species